UUUUCACUCAAAAUCACACACACAGACUGAAGAAAAAUGGGCAGAAGCUGGAGACUGAAAAAGGGAGAAAAAUUAGGGAAAAAGGGAAGAAAAAAGGAAAGAAGGAAGGGAAGAAGAAAAGUGAAGAAGAAGAAAAGAGGUAAGGCUGAUCUCUUCAAGUUUGGGUUGAAUAUUUUUCCAAUUGUUUUCGAGUGAUAAAGUAUGAUUUAUGUUAAAAUUCUAGGGUUUUAACUUGUAGUAGAAAUUUUUAAAUUUAGGUGUGAGGAACUCGAAUUGGAGCUCAAAUUUGGGGAUUUCUUCAUUUCCAAUUCCAGCUAGAUAAGGAAUAUUAUUUUAGCAAACUCUAGAAAUUUUAUUUGGGAUUUUUGGAUUAAGUAUGUUCAUGAAAAUGAUGAUGUUGAGAAAAUAAUUAUUUGAAAGCAUGAAAUUAUGGAACAAGAGGAAAAUUUAAUUGGUCGAAUUAUAGCAACUUCUUGUCACUAGAAUGAAGUGGGUUGUCACGGUAAUGCUUGGAAAUGAAGGUUAUGUUGAUAAAUUAAGGGAUUAUAAAAUGUGAUUAGCUACAAUUAAUAAAGGAAAAUUUGAGAAUUUAUUCAAGUGUCAAGAGAAUUUAAAUUAAGUUCUAUCAUUAACUAUUAAGGUUUCUUGAUUAGAUAGAGGAUAAGUUGGUUAUUAAUAUCGUAUUUCAGAUGGUGACGAGAAAAUUGAAAACGUUUAUCUGGCAAUCUAGCUUGUAGCUCCUACCUUGUGAGUGGAUAAAACUUAUUUAUCAAAAAUAAGUCUUCUUUAAAUUUUAAAGUUAUUUAUUUUAUAAAGUUAACUUCAUAGCAUGAUUUUCAGAAUAAAAUGGAUUUUAUUAUCAACUUCUUUUAAAGUUAAAUUCAGUUCAGUUAAAUUAUUUUAGUAGUAUGUUAUAUUCUUAUUACAUGUUUCAGUAUAGUUAAAGUUAUUUCUAAAAAUCACCAGAAAGUACCCAGGUGAUUUUAUCCCAGUUUGCACUGAUGUGAAUGUGUUUCCAUAGUGUAUGACUAGUUAUAAUGAUUUUACCCGCUCUGCACUAUCGUGAAUGUGUUUCCAUAGUGUAUGACCAGAUUAUCAGAGGUCUUUGGGACCCACUCUCGUACACACAUAGGCUUUGGGCCGUGUACUAGGGUGAUUAGCCUUUGUGGCAGCUCUGCGUACGUAUGACCAGAUUAUCAGAUUAUCAGCUAUCAGAUUAGAAUGACUUUGCCUUGUACAUCGAGAUUACUCUGUACAUGUGUAAGGCUAUUCAUUGGGUACUCUUUUUGGUGCGAUUUUUCAGUAUUUAUUCAGUUCUCAAACUUUAGGUUAUGGAAUUCAGUUAAUUCAGUUUUCAGAAUAAAGUUUUCAACUUAUAGUAUUGAGCAUCAGCAAUAUUUCAUAGAUUUUCAUGAAUAUCAGAUUCCUUAUAUUUGUUAUACCUUACAGAUACUUAUCUAGAAUUUAGAACAAAGAAUUUUAUAAUGUAAUCAUGUUUAGUUUUAAAAGUAUUACUAGAUUCAGAAAUCUUAAGGAUUUAAUAAAGUUAAAAUUUUUAGAAAAUAUGCAUAAAUGGAAAAAAGUUUACUUAUUUGCAAAUUAUCCACUCACUGAGUUACAAGUCAUAUUUUUGUUAUGUUUUUCCUAUCAGGAGACCGUUAAUUUUCAGAUACUUGGAAAAGCUUGCUGAAGCGGAAGAGACCGUUUCAUAGUAUGUAAUGAAUUGUUGGGGAACUCAUGUUUAUUAAGUACUUUGUCUAAUAUUUGGGGUGUCAUGCACUUUGUAGAAGGGUUUGUAAUUGAUGUAAUGCUUGCAUGUAGACAUGAUGUUAUUGUAGAAGUACUUAGUCGAAUUUUGUUAUAUUUUGUUUAAGUUGUGGUGGUAUUAGUGGAAGUGGUGGUUUCCAAAACUUUUGGUUUGGAUGUCUAUUUGAG
rnacentral:lncRNA from 1 species